CAGGGGGAGCUUGCUCCCCGCUGACGAGCGGCGGACGGGUGAGUAAUGCAUAGGAAACUGCCCAGUAGUGGGGGAUAGCCCGGGGAAACCCGGAUUAAUACCGCAUACGCCCUUUGGGGGAAAGCAGGGGAUCUUCGGACCUUGCGCUAUUGGAUGUGCCUAUGUCGGAUUAGCUAGUUGGUGGGGUAAGAGCCUACCAAGGCGACGAUCCGUAGCUGGUCUGAGAGGAUGAUCAGCCACAUCGGGACUGAGACACGGCCCGAACUCCUACGGGAGGCAGCAGUGGGGAAUAUUGGACAAUGGGGGCAACCCUGAUUCAGCCAUGCCGCGUGUGUGAAGAAGGCUUUCGGGUUGUAAAGCACUUUCAGUGAGGAGGAAAACCUGACGACUAAUACUCGUGAGGCUUGACGUUACUCACAGAAGAAGCACCGGCUAACUCCGUGCCAGCAGCCGCGGUAAUACGGAGGGUGCAAGCGUUAAUCGGAAUUACUGGGCGUAAAGCGCGCGUAGGUGGUUUGAUAAGCGAGAUGUGAAAGCCCCGGGCUCAACCUGGGAACGGCAUUUCGAACUGUCAGGCUAGAGUAUGGUAGAGGAGUGUGGAAUUUCCUGUGUAUCGGUGAAAUGCGUAGAUAUAGGAAGGAACACCAGUG
rnacentral:rRNA from 1 species